rnacentral:rRNA from 1 species
GACGAACGCUGGCGGCGUGCCUAAUACAUGCAAGUCGAACGCUUUUUCUUUCACCGGAGCUUGCUCCACCGAAAGAAAAGGAGUGGCGAACGGGUGAGUAACACGUGGGUAACCUGCCCAUCAGAAGGGGAUAACACUUGGAAACAGGUGCUAAUACCGUAUAACACUAUUUUCCGCAUGGAAGAAAGUUGAAAGGCGCUUUUGCGUCACUGAUGGAUGGACCCGCGGUGCAUUAGCUAGUUGGUGAGGUACCGGCUCACCAAGGCAACGAUGCAUAGCCGACCUGAGAGGGUGAUCGGCCACACUGGGACUGAGACACGGCCCAGACUCCUACGGGAGGCAGCAGUAGGGAAUCUUCGGCAAUGGACGAGAGUCUGACCGAGCAACGCCGCGUGAGUGAAGAAGGUUUCCGGAUCGUAAAACUCUGUUGUUAGAGAAGAACAAGGAUGAGAGUAAAAUGUUCAUCCCUUGACGGUAUCUAACCAGAAAGCCACGGCUAACUACGUGCCAGCAGCCGCCGUAA